rnacentral:rRNA from 1 species
AAUGGGGGAAACCCUGAUCUAGCCAUGCCGCGUGAGCGAUGAAGGCCUUAGGGUUGUAAAGCUCUUUCAGCUGGGAAGAUAAUGACGGUACCAGCAGAAGAAGCCCCGGCUAACUCCGUGCCAGCAGCCGCGGUAAUACGGAGGGGGCUAGCGUUGUUCGGAAUUACUGGGCGUAAAGCGCACGUAGGCGGAUUAUUAAGUCGGGGGUGAAAUCCCGGGGCUCAACCCCGGAACUGCCUUCGAUACUGGUAGUCUUGAGGUCGAGAGAGGUGAGUGGAAUUCCGAGUGUAGAGGUGAAAUUCGUAGAUAUUCGGAGGAACACCAGUGGCGAAGGCGGCUCACUGGCUCGAUACUGACGCUGAGGUGCGAAAGCGUGGGGAGCAAA